rnacentral:rRNA from 1 species
AGUGAACGCUGGCGGUAGGCCUAACACAUGCAAGUCGAACGGCAGCACAGUAAGAGCUUGCUCUUACGGGUGGCGAGUGGCGGACGGGUGAGGAAUACAUCGGAAUCUACUUUUUCGUGGGGGAUAACGUAGGGAAACUUACGCUAAUACCGCAUACGACCUACGGGUGAAAGCAGGGGAUCUUCGGACCUUGCGCGAUUGAAUGAGCCGAUGUCGGAUUAGCUAGUUGGCGGGGUAAAGGCCCACCAAGGCGACGAUCCGUAGCUGGUCUGAGAGGAUGAUCAGCACCACUGGAACUGAGACACGGUCCGGACCCCUACGGGAGGAAGCAGUGGGAAAUAUUGGACAAUGGGGGCAAGCCUGAUCCAGCCAUACCGCGUGGGUGAAGAAGGCCUUCGGUUUGUAAAGCCCUUUUGUUGGGAAAGAAAAGCAGCAGGUUAAUACCCCGCUGUUCUGACGGAACCCAAAGAAUAAGCACCGGCUAACUUCGU